rnacentral:rRNA from 1 species
UGAAUACGAGACGCUAAGGCGUCGAAGUAGUGUAUGUCAUACUUCCAAGAAAAGCUUGCACUGUCAUAGAUAAAAAACGCCUGUACCAUAACCGACACAGGUGGGUAGGUAGAGUAUACUAAGGGGCGCGAGAUAACUCUCUCUAAGGAACUCGGCAAAAUAACUCCGUAACUUCGGGAGAAGGAGUGCCUUAUUCGUAAGGUUGCAAUAACAAGAUCCAAGCAACUGUUUAUCAAAAACACAGGUCUCCGCUAAGUCGUAAGACGAUGUAUGGGGGCUGACGCCUGCCCAGUGCCAGAAGGUUAACGAAGUUGGUUAGCAAUUGCGAAGCUGAUAACUGAAGCCCUGGUGAACGGCGGCCGUAACUAUAACGGUCCUAAGGUAGCGAAAUUCCUUGUCGGGUAAGUUCCGACCCGCACGAAAGGCGUAAUGAUUUGGAUACUGUCUCGGAGAGGGGCUCGGUGAAAUAGACUUGUCUGUGAAGAUGCGGACUACCUGCACCAGGACAGAAAGACCCUAUGAAGCUUUACUGUAACUUGAAAUUGAAAUUGGACUUUAUUCGCGCAGUAUAGGUGGGAGGCGUUGAUUAUAAUCUUGUGGGAUUAUUGGAGCCAUCAGUGAGAUACCACUCUUGUAAUGUUAGAUUUCUAACUUUGAAUCAUUAUCUGGUCAAAGAAGAGUUUCAGGCGGGCAGUUUGACUGGGGCGGUCGCCUCCUAAACGGUAACGGAGGCGUACAAAGGUUUCCUCUGAACGGUUAGAAAUCGUAUCUAGAGUGUAAAGGCAUAAGGAAGCUUGACUGUGAGACCUACAAGUCGAGCAGGGACGAAAGUCGGUCUUAGUGAUCUGACGGUACUGAGUGGAAAGGCCGUCACUCAACGGAUAAAAGUUACUCUAAGGAUAACAGGCUGAUCUCCCCCAAGAGUUCACAUCGACGGGGAGGUUUGGCACCUCGAUGUCGGCUCAUCGCAUCCUGGGGCGGUAGUACGUCCCAAGGGUUGGGCUGUUCGCCCAUGAAAGCGGUACGCGAGCUGGGUUCAGAACGUCGUGAGACAGUUCGGUCCAUAUCCGGUGUAGGCGUUAGAAUAUUGAGAGGAGCCUUCUUUAGUACGAGAGGACCGAGAAGGACAUACCUCUGGUGUACCAGUUAUCGUGCCAACGGUAAACGCUGGGUAGCUAUGUAUGGAGUGGAUAACCGCUGAAAGCAUCUAAGUGGGAAGCCCACCUCAAGAUAAGUAUUCUC